GACGAACGCUGGCGGCGUGCCUAAUACAUGCAAGUAGGACGCAGUUGCGAACGGGUGAGUAACGCGUAGGUAACUACCUAUUAGAGGGGGAUAACUAUUGGAAACGAUAGCUAAUACCGCAUACUAGUAGAUGGACCUGCGUUGUAUUAGGUAGUAGGUUGGGUAAUGGCCUACCGAUGCAACGAAUCAUAGCCGACCGGAGCGGGUGAUCGGUCAAACUGGGAUGUAGAAAAUGACCAGACGCCUACGGGAGGCAGCAGUAAGGAAGCUUCGGCAAUGGGGGGAACCCUGAACGAGCAACGCCGCGUGAGUGAAGAAGGUUUUCGGAUCGUAAAGCUCUGUUGUUAAGGAAGCGGUACUUAACCAGAAAGGGACGGCUAACUACGUGCCAGCAGCCGCGGUAAUAC
rnacentral:rRNA from 1 species